UCUCUCCUCUCAUAUUGAAUAUCUCAUAUUCUCUACUCUUCAUCUUCUAGAUUUGAGGUCUAUAAUUUCAAGGAACAAGAGAGAUUUGAUGUUUUUUUUUGGUAAUAUGGUUUUUUCUUAAUUUGUUCUCACUUGCCUUUGAUUCCUUCUCUUGCCUUCGAUCUCGUUCUUCUCCACUCGUCUCUUUCCUUUUUUCGGAUUCAAGAUAUGUUUGGUUCAUUUCGCUCAUCACCGCACUUGCAUUUCCAUCGCCGACAAAUAAUCACCGGAAAAGGAAAGUAUAAUUGCAUUAUGCCAUGUUUACAAGAAAGUGGAGACAAAAGAAGGGAAUGUGGUGAGAUAUUCGAACACAAUCUUGAAGAACAAAAGAAAAGGAGAUUGUCUGUUGUUGGAGGGAAGCAAGAAGAUUUGCAUUAACAACAUGGAACAAUUAGGCCAAAUAAUGAAGUAGUUUUUGAAACAAUGAAGAUUAUGAAUAAGGAGAUUAUGGAAGAUAGUAAUUAUGCUGAUAAGGAGAUUAUGGAAGCUAAUUAUGCUGAUAAGGAGAUUAUGGAAGCUAAUUAUGCUGAUAAGGAGAUUAUGGAAGCUAAAAUGAAUCACGUGCAAGUCACGUGCCAGUCAACGCCGGAAAAUUGGCGUUGACCACCGAAAAAUGAUUUUUGGUCCUUAUUCACAACAAAAAACUUGGAUUAGGUCUUUUCUCACAACUUUUUUUUAAAAGGUCCUUUGUCAUAAUUUUUGGAUUAUAAAAAGUCAUUUCUGACAAAUUUUCCUAAUACAUGCAUGAUAAAGAUAUCUGGUUUAAACUCAGCAACUCAUAAGAAAAUUUAUUAAGAUUUAGACUUGCAUAUUUGUAUAUCCUGCCAAAUGCAUGACAUCUUGCUG